UUGGUCAAGUUGUCAAGGGCGCACGGUGGAUGCCUGGGCAUCAGGAGCCGAUGAAGGACGUGGGAGGCCGCGAUAGUCCUCGGGGAGUUGUCAACCGAGCUGUGAUCCGAGGGUGUCCGAAUGGGGUAACCCGGCAGCCGUCAUGGGCUGUCACCCCCGCCUGAAUGUAUAGGGCGGGUGGAGGGAACGCGGGGAAGUGAAACAUCUCAGUACCCGCAGGAGAAGAAAACAAAAGUGAUUCCGUGAGUAGUGGCGAGCGAAAGCGGAGGAGGCUAAACCCCGUCAGUGUGAGAGCCGGCAGGUGUUGCUGGUGGGGUGUUGUGGGGCGUCAUGGCCCGGGUCUGCCGACCUGGGGCGUGGCCGUGGAUGGUUAGUCGAAGGCGUUGGGACGCGUCGGCGUAGAGGGUGAGACCCCCGUAGGCGAAAACCGUUCAUGGUCGCGUGGUGGCGUGCCCGAGUAGCAGCGAGCCCGUGGAAUUCGCUGUGAAUCUGCCGGGACCACCCGGUAAGCCUAAAUACUUCCUGGUGACCGAUAGCGGACGAGUACCGUGAGGGAAAGGUGAAAAGUACCCCGGGAGGGGAGUGAAACAGUACCUGAAACCGUGUGCCUACAAGCCGUCAGAGCUCGUCCUUGUGACGUGUGAUGGCGUGCCUUUUGAAGAAUGAGCCUGCGAGUUAGCGGUACGUGGCGAGGUUAACCCGUGUGGGGUAGCCGUAGCGAAAGCGAGUCCGAACAGGGCGUGUUGAGUCGCGUGCUCUAGACCCGAAGCGGGGUGAUCUACCCAUGGCCAGGGUGAAGCGCCGGUAAGACGGUGUGGAGGCCCGAACCCACCAGGGUUGAAAACCUGGGGGAUGAGCUGUGGGUAGGGGUGAAAGGCCAAUCAAACUCCGUGAUAGCUGGUUCUCCCCGAAAUGCAUUUAGGUGCAGCGUCGCGUGGUACUCACCGGAGGUAGAGCACUGGUUGGCCUAGGGGGCCUACAAGCUUACUGAAGUCAGCCAAACUCCGAAUGCCGGUGAGCGUGAGCGCGGCAGUGAGACUGCGGGGGAUAAGCUUCGUAGUCGAGAGGGAAACAGCCCAGAUCGCCGGCUAAGGCCCCUAAGCGUGCGCUAAGUGGGAAAGGAUGUGGGAUCGCCCAGACAACCAGGAGGUUGGCUUAGAAGCAGCCACCCUUGAAAGAGUGCGUAAUAGCUCACUGGUCAAGUGGUCCUGCGCCGACAAUGUAGCGGGGCUCAAGCGCACCGCCGAAGCCGCGGCAACACCACGGACACCUAACGGUGGUGGUGUUGGGUAGGGGAGCGUCAUGCGGGUGGUGAAGCGGCGGAGUGAUCCAGCCGUGGAACCCGUGUGAGUGAGAAUGCAGGCAUGAGUAGCGAUAGCAGAGUGAGAAACUCUGCCGCCGGAAGACCAAGGGUUCCUGGGCCAGGUUUUUCCGCCCAGGGUGAGCCGGGACCUAAGGCGAGGCCGACAGGCGUAGUCGAUGGACAACGGGUUGAUAUUCCCGUGCUCGUGUAGGCGCGUCCCUGGCGAGCCCAGGUGUGCUAACCGCCCGAACCAUCCCAGUCUCCUUCGGGAGCUGGUGGUGGGGAGCGCGGGACCCCACCUGGUAGUAGCCAAGCGAUGGGGUGACGCAGGAGGGCAGCUCCGCCAGUGAGUGGUUGUACUGGUGCAAGCGUGUAGGCCGGUGCACAGGCAAAUCCGUGCACCAUCCAGGCUGAGACGUGACGCAUAGCCGUUGAGGCGAAGCAGAGUGAUCCCAUGCUGCCGAGAAAAGCCUCUAGCGAGUUCCUACGCGACCCGUACCCCAAACCAACACAGGUGGUCAGGUAGAGAAUACCGAGGCGUUCGAGCGAACUGUGGUCAAGGAAUUCGGCAAAAUGCCCCCGUAACUUCGGGAGAAGGGGGGCCCUGUGGCCUGAAACCCCUUUGCGGGUUAGGGCUGUGGGGCCGCAGAGACCAGGGGGAAGCGACUGUUUACUAAAAACACAGGUCCGUGCGAAGUCGCAAGACGAUGUAUACGGACUGACUCCUGCCCGGUGCUGGAACGUUAAGGGGACCGGUUAGGCCUUCGGGCCGAAGCUGAGAACUUAAGCGCCAGUAAACGGCGGUGGUAACUAUAACCAUCCUAAGGUAGCGAAAUUCCUUGUCGGGUAAGUUCCGACCUGCACGAAUGGAGUAACGACUUCCCCGCUGUCUCGACCACAGACUCGGCGAAAUUGCACUACGAGUAAAGAUGCUCGUUACGCGCGGCAGGACGGAAAGACCCCGGGACCUUCACUACAGCUUGGUAUUGGUGCUCGGUUCGGCUUGUGUAGGAUAGGUGGGAGACUGUGAAGCCCGCACGCCAGUGCGGGUGGAGUCAUCGUUGAAAUACCACUCUGGUCGAAUUGGGCAUCUAACCUCGGGCCAUGAUCUGGUCCAGGGACAGUGCCUGGUGGGUAGUUUAACUGGGGCGGUUGCCUCCCAAAGGGUAACGGAGGCGCCCAAAGGUUCCCUCAGCCUGGUCGGCAACCAGGUGUUGAGUGCAAGUGCACAAGGGAGCUUGACUGUGAGACCGACGGGUCGAGCAGGGACGAAAGUCGGGACUAGUGAUCCGGCACCUCCUGGUGGAAGGGGUGUCGCUCAACGGAUAAAAGGUACCCCGGGGAUAACAGGCUGAUCUUGCCCAAGAGUCCAUAUCGACGGCAUGGUUUGGCACCUCGAUGUCGGCUCGUCGCAUCCUGGGGCUGGAGUAGGUCCCAAGGGUUGGGCUGUUCGCCCAUUAAAGCGGUACGCGAGCUGGGUUUAGAACGUCGUGAGACAGUUCGGUCCCUAUCCGCCGCGCGCGCAGGAGACUUGAGGAAGGCUGUCCCUAGUACGAGAGGACCGGGACGGACGAACCUCUGGUGUGCCAGUUGUCCCGCCAGGGGCACGGCUGGUUGGCUACGUUCGGAAGGGAUAACCGCUGAAGGCAUCUAAGCGGGAAGCCCGUUCCAAGAUGAGGUCUCCCACCCCUACGAGGGUUAAGGCCCCCACCAGACCAGUGGGUUGAUAGGCCAGACAUGUAAUCACCGCGAGGUGUUCAGUGGACUGGUACUAAUAGGCCGAGGACUUGCCCGACA
rnacentral:rRNA from 1 species